CACAGUGAGACCUCCUCUCUAUUAUUAACAUAAUAAUAAUAAUAAAGAAAUUGAAAAAAAGAAAGCACCACUGCAAAUAUUCCAGUUGAUUCGCCCUGCCCUCAAAAGACAUGUGUCACACCAAGCAACUAACACCCAUGUUGUAACUGCCCCAGAGGAAAGACGUUCAACGGCUGAGGAGACCACAGCGGCAACUAGGUCACUUCCUAUUCGAAGAAAAAGGAGGAGAUGCCAUCUGGCAAAUUCGAGGAACAUCUGCCUUUCCUGGUGACACCCUCUGCCCUGCAGUCUUCAUUUUCCCUGGAUAGCCCAGCGUCAUUUAAAUACUCAGAAGCCUCUCUGCCUUUCUAUGCUGUUGUCUGCAAAGAGAUGAACGGACCUGUGCAGACGGCUGGCCAGUGACGCCGGGAUCUCUAGGUCCUUCCAAAGUGCCUACGGAAAGCUUUGUCCCAUCCUUGAAAAAUUGCUAAUGGGUUUGGAGAUACGAGGUGGAGAUGACUAGCAAUCAAACUCAAAGGUGGAAGUCACAUCGAGGCAGAUGAGCAGAUGAGGGGACCUAGAGAAGAAGAGAGGUGCAAGGAGAGCCCAGCCAGCAGGAACAUCUGCCCCAGUAGGCAGCACUGCCCCACAUCAGAGUCGAGGAAAGCAAAGCUCGGAUUGGAUAAAAGAAACUUGCAAACACGGUCAGUGCUUACUGCAUGUGGGCUCAGAGCACGUUACCCUCCUUCCCUGCAUGUUCCUGUGAAACGGGUUUACUGCUCUAACUCUCAGGGACACUGUGAAGACCAAACGAGAAAAUAGAAACAAACAUAAUUUAUAAACCAUAAAGUACUGACACCAAAAGAGGGGCGAGCACAGCAUUGUGAAUGUGCUGGUACUAAAUGGUUUGUUUUAAGAUGAUUUUAUGGUGUGUGAAUUUCACUUGAAUAAAUUUUUUUAAUGGAGUUCA
rnacentral:lncRNA from 1 species